rnacentral:rRNA from 1 species
UACGUAGGGGGCAAGCGUUGUCCGGAUUUAUUGGGCGUAAAGAGCGUGUAGGCGGCCAGACAGGUCCGUUGUGAAAACUGGAGGCUUAACCUUCAGACGUCGAUGGAAACCGUCUGGCUAGAGUCCGGAAGAGGAGAGUGGAAUUCCCGGUGUAGUGGUGAAAUGCGUAGAUAUCGGGAGGAACACCAGUGGCGAAGGCGACUACCUGGCCUGUUCUUGACGCUGAGGCGCGAAAGCUAGGGGAGCAAACGGG